rnacentral:rRNA from 1 species
UCCGUAGGGUGCAAGCGUUAAUCGGAAUUACUGGGCGUAAAGCGUGCGCAGGCGGUGAUGUAAGACAGUUGUGAAAUCCCCGGGCUCAACCUGGGAACUGCAUCUGUGACUGCAUUGCUGGAGUGCGGCAGAGGGGGAUGGAAUUCCGCGUGUAGCAGUGAAAUGCGUAGAUAUGCGGAGGAACACCGAUGGCGAAGGCAAUCCCCUGGGCCUGCACUGACGCUCAUGCACGAAAGCGUGGGGAGCAAACAGG